rnacentral:rRNA from 1 species
UGAUUUUUUAAAUGGCUGCGGUAUUUUGACCGUACAAAGGUAGCAUAAUCAUUAGUUUUUUAAUUGAAAGCUAGAAUGAAUGAUUGAACGAAAAAAUUACUGUCUCAAUUUAAUUUUUUUAGAAUUUUAUUUUUGAGUUAAAAAGCUCAAAUAAUUUUUAAAGACGAGAAGACCCUAUAGAGUUUAAUAUUUUAAAAAUUUUAAAUUUUAUAAAUUUUUUAAAUUUUAAAAAUAUUUUAUUGGGGUGAUAAUUAAAUUUAAAAAACUUUAAUUUUUACAUACAUAAAUUUAUGAAUAAAUGAUCCAUUAUUAAUGAUUAAAAGAUAAAAUUACCUUAGGGAUAACAGCGUAAUUUUUUUUGAGAGUUCUUAUCGAAAAAAAAGAUUGCGACCUCGAUGUUGGAUUAAAAUUAAAUUUUGGUGUAGAAGCUAAAACUUUAAGUCUGUUCGACUUUUAAAAUUUUACAUGAUCUGAGUUUAAACCGGCGUGAGCCAGGUUGGUUUCUAUCUUAAAAUAAUUAAAAUAUUUUAGUACGAAAGGACCAAAUAUUUGUAAUAAUUAUUAAUUUUUGAAUAU